UACGGAGGGGGCUAGCGUUAUUCGGAAUUACUGGGCGUAAAGCGCACGUAGGCGGACUGAAAAGUCAGAGGUGAAAUCCCAGGGCUCAACCUUGGAACUGCCUUUGAAACUCUCAGUCUUGAGGUCGAGAGAGGUGAGUGGAAUUCCGAGUGUAGAGGUGAAAUUCGUAGAUAUUCGGAGGAACACCAGUGGCGAAGGCGGCUUACUGGAUCGAUACUGACGCUGAGGUGCGAAAGCGUGGGGAGCAAACAGG
rnacentral:rRNA from 1 species